CGCGGCCGCGGUAAUUCCUGCUCCAAUAGCGUAUAUUAAAGUUGUUGCAGUUAAAAAGCUCGUAGUUGAAUUUCGGGAUUAAUUUAUUGGUCGUGCUAUUGUACGUACUGGUAUUAUUGAUUCCUACCUUCUGACGAACCAUGAUGUCAUUAAUUUGGUGUCAUGGGGAAUCAGGACUGUUACUUUGAAAAAAUUAGAGUGUUUAAAGCAGGCUCACGCUUGAAUACAUUGGCAUGGAAUAACGAAAUAGGACGUUUGAUUCUAUUUUGUUGGUUUCUAGGAUCGACGUAAUGAUUAAUAGGGAUAGUUGGGGGCAUUAGUAUUCAAUUGUCAGAGGUGAAAUUCUUGGAUUUAUUGAGGACUAACUACUGCGAAAGCAUUUGCCAAGGAUGUUUUCAUU
rnacentral:rRNA from 1 species